rnacentral:piRNA from 1 species
GAAGAAUGAACCAGAAGAUGAGGAA